rnacentral:sRNA from 1 species
GCGGCCGCCGAGCGCGAACUGGAACUGCUGCGCGCCAGCCUGGAGCACCAGCGCGGGGUGAGUGAGCUUCUGCGGGGCCGGUUGCGGGAGCUGGAGGAAGCCCGCGAGGCUGCGGAGGAGGCAGCGGCGGGGGCCCGGGCCCAGCUACGCGAGGCCACCACCCAGACCCCGUGGAGCUGUGCCGAAAAGGCCGCGCAGACCGAGCCCCCGGCGGAGGCGCCCUCCUUGACUCAGGAGAGCUUGCCCGGAUCCAUGGACGGAGACAGGGCUGUGGCGCCCGCGGGUGAGUCCCGACCCCGUCGCUGGGCCCUGGCUUACUCGGCGCCGGACUCGAACUCAGUGCCCUCAUCUCAUCCCCGCCAGGCAUCCUCAAAUCCAUCAUGAAGAAGAGAGACGGCACACCUGGUGCCCAACCCAGCUCCGGACCCAAGAGCCUGCAGUUUGUUGGGGUCCUCAACGGAGAGUGAGCGCCUUUCCCCUCCUGUGGCAGCUUCUGCCGGGACAUAGACUGGGGUUGGAACCCCAGCUCUGCCCCUCUGCUGGCAGCGUGGUCUGGGCAAUCCUCAGUUUCCUCAUCGUUAAAUGGGAACGGCCACACCCACAUCGCAGGACUCCAGAACGAGCCCACAGGGGAGGUUUAGCAGACGCCUCCCACCCUGCCCCCAGGUAC